rnacentral:rRNA from 1 species
AACGAACGCUGGCGGCAGGCCUAACACAUGCAAGUCGAGCGCCCAGCAAUGGGAGCGGCAGACGGGUGAGUAACGCGUGGGAACCUUCCCAAUGGUACGGAAUAGCUCAGGGAAACUUGAGGUAAUACCGAAUAAGCCCGAAAGGGAAGAUUUAUCGCCAUUGGAUGGGCCCGCGUAGGAUUAGCUAGUUGGUGAGGUAAUGGCUCACCAAGGCGACGAUCCUUAGCUGGUUUGAGAGAAUGACCAGCCACACUGGGACUGAGACACGGCCCAGACUCCUACGGGAGGCAGCAGGCGGGGAAUCUUGGACAAUGGGCGCAAGCCUGAUCCAGCCAUGCCGCGUGAGUGACGAA